AAAAAAGAAUAUUAGCCAUUUUUAUCAUAAUGAAUAAUAUUCGCCUUUCCCGUCCAACUAAAUAUAAAGCUUGUGCUAGGAGUAGGUAAGACAAGUGCAAUGGGUCGAGCUUGAACA